GAACUUGGGCGUCUUUGGCGAGUCGAGGCAGCUGUUGGAGCGUGCUCGACAUGUAAUCGAUCUCAAGAAGCUGUGGAACAAGCUUAAGCUCAUCAAGAAGGCUCGGGAUUUUCGGAAUGGUGCAAACAAUGCUCGGGCUUGGGCUCGUCUUCCCUAGCUUCCUGGCUUCCGUCCUGUUAUGUGCGAGUCAUGUUCGAUGGUGCAAACUUUUGGACUCGUAAUAUCCGACUUGUAUCUUGUGCUACCCAGAGUUAGUUUAUAUAUUAUCGAAUACUAGGUUAAUGCUGUCUCCCUGGUUUACCUUUAUCUUUCAGAACUUGUGUCUUCUGUGUUCAAGCGCAUGAGAGCAUUAUAGCAUG
rnacentral:misc_RNA from 1 species